ACGGCUCAGUAACACGUAGUCAACAUGCCCAGGGGACGUGGAUAACCUCGGGAAACUGAGGAUAAACCGCGAUAGGUCAUAAUGUCUGGAAUGAUUUAUGGCUGAAAUCUACAUGGCCCCUGGAUUGGACUGCGGCCGAUCAGGCUGUUGGUGAGGUAAUGGCCCACCAAACCUAAAACCGGUACGGGCUCUGAGAGGAGAAGCCCGGAGAUGGGCACUGAGACAAGGGCCCAGGCCCUAUGGGGCGCAGCAGGCGCGAAACCUUUGCAAUAAGCGAAAGCUUGACAAGGUUAUUCUGAGUGAUUUCCGCUAAGGAGAUCUUUUGGCACCUCUAAAAAUGGUGCAGAAUAAGGGGUGGGCAAGCCUGGUGUCAGCCGCCGCGGUAAUACCAGCACCCCGAGUGGUCGGGACGAUUAUUGAGUCUAAAGGGUCCGUAGCCGGCUUUGCAAGUCCCCUGGGAAAUCCAGCGGCUUAACCGUUGGGCUUUCAUGGGAUACUACAUUGCUUGGGACUGGGAGAGGUAGGAGGUACUCGGGGGGUAGGGGUGAAAUCCUGUAAUCCUCCGGGGACCACCGGUGGCGAAGGCGUCCUACCAGAACAGGUCCGACGGUGAGGGACGAAAGCUAGGGGCACGAACCGGAUUAGAUACCCGGGUAGUCCUAGCCGUAAACGAUGCCCGCUAGGUGUCACGACGGUCGUGAAUCGUCGUGGUGCCGUAGGGAAGCCGCGAAGCGGGCCACUUGGGAAGUACGGCCGCAAGGCUGAAACUUAAAGGAAUUGGCGGGGGAG
rnacentral:rRNA from 1 species